CCUCCUGCCCUGCAGUGGCUGAGAUACCAUUGACGAUGGUCAGCGAGGAGGUGGAAGAGCAAGUCCAUUCCUCCGUCCAAGGCAGCUCUUCUGCAAACCCUGUGAACUCAGUUCGGAGGAAAUCUUGUAUUGUGAAGGAAAUGGAAAAAAUGAAGAACAAGCGAGAAGAGAAAAGAGCCCAGAACUCUGAAAUGAGAAUAAAACGAGCUCAGGAGUAUGACAACAGCUUUCCAAACUGGGAAUUUUCCCGGAUGAUUAAAGAAUUUCGGGCUACUUUGGAAUGUCAUCCACUUACUGUGACUGAUCC